rnacentral:rRNA from 1 species
ACAAGUGAUGUCGACACCGAUGACUUCCCAAUUAAGAUAGGACUGCAUCAGGGGUCAGCUUUGAGCCCUUAUCUUUUUGCAUUGGUGAUGGAUGAUGUCACAAGGGAUAUACAAGGAGAUACCCCAUGGUGUAUGCUCUUUGCGGAUGAUGUGGUGCUAGUUGACGAUAGUCGGACGGGGGUAAAUAUGAAGUUAGAGUUAUGGAGACAAACCUUGGAAUCGAAAGGGUUUAGGCUUAGUAGAACUAAAACCGGGUACAUGAUGUUUAGUACUACUAGGUGUGAGGAGGAGGAGGUUAGCCUUGAUGGCCAGGUGGUGCCUCGGAAGGACACUUUUCGGUAUUUGGGGUCAAUGUUGCAGGAGGAUGGGGGUAUUGAUGAAGAUGUGAACCAUCGAAUCAAAGCCGGAUGGAUGAAGUGGCGCCAAGCUUCU